AAGUCAUUUGCAGAUAUACAGAACCGCCUUCUCACAACGGCAUAGUUUUUUGGUUAGUGGCUCUGUCAUUUGGAAGGUAAGGAAAAGAAACUCUAUUCCUUUUUCCUUUCAUUUCCUUUUUAAACGGUAUCUCCUAUUAAUAAAUGUCACUAAUAUCUACUGUUAUUUUCAUAACUGGCAGAUAGAACUAGACUACAACCAAGUAUUACUUGUAGAUGGAAGCAUCAAAAGAUUGCUGUUUGUGAUCAUUAUAUUCUCCAUCAAUCAACCAUCUUUCAAUUCCAAAGUAUAAAGUUAAGCUGCAG
rnacentral:lncRNA from 1 species